rnacentral:rRNA from 1 species
UAAGUGAUAGUGAAUCGUGCGGCUCAACCGCAUACACGUUAUUAACUGCUUAGCUUGAAGAUGAGAGAGGUCACUGGAAUUUCCUGUGUAGGAGUGAAAUCCGUAGAUAUAGGAAGGACACCGAUGGCGUAGGCAGGUGACUGGCUCAUUCUUGACACUAAGGCACGAAAGCGUGGUAGCAAACGGGAUUAGAUACCCCGGUAGUCCACGCCGUAAACGAUGGAUGCUA